rnacentral:misc_RNA from 1 species
GCCAGGUGGCAUAUGAGUAGCAUAUUUCUAUGAAAUCUUUUUAUGGCUGUCUGCUGUCUGCUUAACUGGGCAUUGAUGGCAGGUUAAUUUUUAAAAAGUUUGUACUUCAAAUAUAGGAACUAUCUUGCUUUCGGCGGAUUAUUCUCAGUUGGAACUUCGAAUAUUGGCGCAUUUGAGCGAAGACGCAGGUCUUUGUUCUGUUCUUAGCCAACCCGAUGGCGAUGUUUUCCGCGGCAUUGUAUCGGUUUGGAAAAAGAAAAAGCAAGAAGAAGUCAGAGACGAUGAAAGGCAAAAAGCGAAACAAAUCUUCUACGGGAUUGUUUACGGCAUGGGAUGUAAAAGUUUAGCCGAACAGUUGGAAGUCGGGGAAGAAGAGGCUCAACUCUUUGUUAACACUUUCCACGCAAGGUAUCCUAGUCAACCGAUGUGGAAAAAAAUUCAGGAGGAAAAUGAAUUGAACUGCUGACAUUGGCCUAUUCUGGAAUACAUCAGUUUGCAUCAUAAUCAGAAAGGACAAGAGAAGGAAAACGCUGGAACUGUGUGCUACAAUCAUGAUUCUUCUUAUAUUCUCCUCCGCUGGAAAACGAUACUUUAUUGUGUCAUGACCAAGAUGCUUAACAGGCGUCGGAAAAAAAAAAAAAGAGGUUUGUCUUCCAACAAAUGAAUACAGACUUACUUGACUCCCAAUUACAACUCGAAAGGUCAAGCGUUGGAAUGGGAUUGGCACCCCAUUGCAAUGCAAGACUGAAUAGAGAGGUAAGAGCCCUCAGCUGAUGUCACGAUGUGGAUCAUAUAGUACAGCAAUAUGAUCUCCGUCCGGGCAGGUCUGGAGGUUACUCGAUAGCAAGUCAAUCAAGUGCUUAGCGCAACCCUUUUUUUUUCUUUUUUUUUUCUUUUUUU